AACGAACGCUGGCGGCGUGCCUAACACAUGCAAGUCGAGCGCGAAUGGAGCAAUCCUAGUAGCGCGGCGCACGGGUGCGUAACACGUGGGUAAUCUGCCUGGGAGACCGGAAUAACCUGCCGAAAGGCUGGCUAAUACCGGAUAAGCCCACGGACUCUUCGGAGUCUGAGGGAAAAGGUGGCCUCUGUAUACAAGCUAUCACUUCCAGAUGAGCCCGCGGCCCANCAGCUCGUUGGCGGGGUAAAGGCCCACCAAGGCAACGACGGGUAGCUGGUCUGAGAGGACGAUCAGCCACACUGGAACUGAGACACGGUCCAGACUCCUACGGGAGGCAGCAGUGGGGAAUUUUGCACAAUGGGCGAAAGCCUGAUGCAGCAACGCCGCGUGUGUGAUGAAGGUCUUCGGAUCGUAAAGCACUUUCGACCGGGACGAACCCGUU
rnacentral:rRNA from 1 species